rnacentral:rRNA from 1 species
UGGGGAAUAUUGGACAAUGGGGGGAACCCUGAUCCAGCCAUGCCGCGUGUGUGAAGAAGGCCUUAUGGUUGUAAAGCACUUUAAGCGAGGAGGAGGGUACUGGUAUUAAUACUACCAGCUACUGGACGUUACUCGCAGAAUAAGCACCGGCUAACUCUGUGCCAGCAGCCGCGGUAAUACAGAGGGUGCGAGCGUUAAUCGGAUUUACUGGGCGUAAAGCGUGCGUAGGCGGCUAAUUGAGUCGGAUGUGAAAUCCCCGAGCUUAACUUGGGAAUUGCAUUCGAUACUGGUGAGCUAGAGUGUGGGAGAGGAUGGUAGAAUUCCAGGUGUAGCGGUGAAAUGCGUAGAGAUCUGGAGGAAUACCGAUGGCGAAGGCAGCCAUCUGGACUAACACUGACGCUGAGGUACGAAAGCAUGGGGAGCAAACAGG